CGCCUAAACUCAUAGAUUUUCUAUGGGCACGGCAUGAAAUUCCCAUCAAAGGUAUUGAGCUCCAUGCUCAGCGUACUCUUUGAUGGGUCUUGUCGGGAAACUGGCAGGUGCUGGGCUGGAGCUCUAUG
rnacentral:sRNA from 12 species